GACGAACGCUGGCGGCGUGCCUAAUACAUGCAAGUUGAACGCUUGAUUUUCACCGAAGCUUGCUUCACCGAAAAUCAAGAGUAGCGAACGGGUGAGUAACGCGUGGGUAACCUACCUUUCAGCGGGGGAUAACUAUUGGAAACGAUAGCUAAUACCGCAUAACAAUGUUGGAUGCAUAUUCGACAUUUGAAAGUACCAAUUGGUAUACUGAGAGAUGGACCCGCGUUGUAUUAGCUAGUUGGUAGUGUAAUGGACUACCAAGGCGAUGAUACAUAGCCGACCUGAGAGGGUGAUCGGCCACAUUGGGACUGAGACACGGCCCAAACUCCUACGGGAGGCAGCAGUAGGGAAUCUUCGGCAAUGGACGAAAGUCUGACCGAGCAACGCCGCGUGAGUGAAGAAGGUUUUCGGAUCGUAAAACUCUGUUGUUAGAGAAGAACGUUGCAUAGAGUGGAAAAUUAUGCAAGUGACGGUAUCUAACCAGAAAGGGACGGCUAACUACGUGCCAGCAGCCGCGGUAAUACGUAGGUCCCGAGCGUUGUCCGGAUUUAUUGGGCGUAAAGCGAGCGCAGGUGGUUUAAUAAGUCUGAUGUGAAAGGCAGUGGCUCAACCAUUGUGUGCAUUGGAAACUGUUAGACUUGAGUGCAGUAGAGGAGAGUGGAAUUCCAUGU
rnacentral:rRNA from 1 species